ensembl:lncRNA
UUCUGAUUUAUCAGCCAAAAGUUGUUCAAACUCACAACAGCUUUUGUCCAGAUGAUGUUUUCUUCAAUUUUAUUGAGAUAUGUUUGACAUGCAGGUAAGUUGAAGGUGUACAGUAAAAUGAUU